rnacentral:rRNA from 1 species
GGGAGGCAGCAGUGAGGGAAUCUUCCGCAAUGGGCGAAAGCUGCACGGAGCGACGCCGCGUGGAGGAUGAAGGUUUUCGGAUUGUAAACUCCUUUCGGCAGGGACGAAGCCGCAAGGUGACGGUACCUGCAGAAGAGGCCCCGGCCAACUACGUGCCAGCAGCCGCGGUAAUACGUAGGGGGCAAGCGUUGUUCGGAAUCACUGGGCGUAAAGAGCACGUAGGCGGUAGGUCAAGUCGAGUGUGAAAGCCUUGGGCUUAACUCAAGGAUUGCACUUGAAACUAAUCUACUAGAGUUCAGUAGAGGGAAGUGGAAUUCCCGGUGUAGCGGUGAAAUGCGCAGAUAUCGGGAAGAACACCAGUGGCGAAGGCGGCUUCCUGGACUGCAACUGACGCUGAGGUGCGAAAGUAGGGGAGCGAACAGGAUUAGAUACCCUGGUAGUCCUAGCCGUAAACGAUGGGCACUAGGUGUAGGGAGUUAUUGAUGCUCUCUGUGCCGCAGCUAACGCAUUAAGUGCCCCGCCUGGGGAGUACGGCCGCAAGGCUAAAACUCAAAUGAAUUGACGG